GACGAACGCUGGCGGCGUGCCUAAUACAUGCAAGUAGAACGCACAGUUUAUACCGUAGCUUGCUACACCAUAGACUGUGAGUUGCGAACGGGUGAGAAACGCGUAGGUAACCUGCCUGGUAGCGGGGGAUAACUAUUGGAAACGAUAGCUAAUACCGCAUAAUAUUAAUUAUUGCAUGAUAAUUAAUUGAAAGGUGCAAUUGCACCACUACCAGAUGGACCUGCGUUGUAUUAGCUAGUAGGUGAGGUAACGGCUCACCUAGGCGACGAUACAUAGCCGACCUGAGAGGGUGAUCGGCAACACUGGGACUGAGACACGGCCCAGACUCCUACGGGAGGCAGCAGUAGGGAAUCUUCGGCAAUGGACGAAAGUCUGACCGAGCAACGCCGCGUGAGUGAAGAAGGUUUUCGGAUCGUAAAGCUCUGUUGUAAGAGAAGAACGGGUGUGAGAGUGGAAAGUUCACACUGUGACGGUAUCUUACCAGAAAGGGACGGCUAACUACGUG
rnacentral:rRNA from 1 species